GGAAUAUUGGUCAAUGGCCGAGAGGCUGAACCAGCCAUGCCGCGUGCGGGAAGACGGCCCUAUGGGUUGUAAACCGCUUUUUUGAGGGAGCAAUAAGGCCCACGUGUGGGUUGAUGAGAGUACCUUGAGAAUAAGCAUCGGCUAACUCCGUGCCAGCAGCCGCGGUAAUACGGAGGAUGCGAGCGUUAUCCGGAUUUAUUGGGUUUAAAGGGUGCGUAGGCGGGUGCUUAAGCGUGAGGUGAAAGCUCGGAGCUCAACUCCGGAACUGCCUCGCGAACUGGGUGCCUUGAAUGUCCGUGCCGUGGGAGGAAUGUGUGGUGUAGCGGUGAAAUGCAUAGAGAUCACACAGAACACCGAUUGCGAAGGCAUCUCACGAAGGGGUGAUUGACGCUGAGGCACGAAAGCGUGGGGAUCAAACA
rnacentral:rRNA from 1 species